rnacentral:rRNA from 1 species
GAUGAACGCUGGCGGCGUGCCUAAUACAUGCAAGUCGAGCGAACGGACGAGAAGCUUGCUUCUCUGAUGUUAGCGGCGGACGGGUGAGUAACACGUGGAUAACCUACCUAUAAGACUGGGAUAACUUCGGGAAACCGGAGCUAAUACCGGAUAAUAUUUUGAACCGCAUGGUUCAAAAGUGAAAGACGGUCUUGCUGUCACUUAUAGAUGGAUCCGCGCUGCAUUAGCUAGUUGGUAAGGUAACGGCUUACCAAGGCAACGAUGCAUAGCCGACCUGAGAGGAGGACAAAGAAGAAUGGGAAUGAGAAACGGGCAAGAAGCCUAAGGGAGGCAGCAGGGGGGAAGUUGGGAUGAUGGGCGAAAGACUGACACAGAAAUGCCGGGAGGGUGAUGAAGGACUUAGGGUGGUAAAGCAAGGGGGGAGGGAAAGAAAAGGACGGGGGAAAGAUCAGGGGGAGAUGACGGUAUAAGAAGAAGAAGAACCGGCGAACUAAG